GAAAUUCCAGUUCCUUCCUCUACAUAUCCAUCAUCAAAAAGUGGUCUAGCGAGCAGUAGAGCGGAAGGUCCUCAUCAGGCGACAGGAGAAAAAAUGAUUCGAACGUGGCACAAAGACGGAACUGAAGAAGGUCGUCUCCAAGAUUUAUCGAACGGCGAUUUGGAGAAGAGAGAUUCACCGUCUCCAGUCACUGUCUUCUCUGGAUCUGAACAAGGUGACGGACAUGAUUCGGGAGGGUGUCACUUUCAUACGAUGUGGAACUGGUGGACCUUAUUAUUAGUUCCUCUUUUCAUCUUCAAGCUUUAGCGUACCAAAAAAUAAAGAAGUUAAUGGGGAUGUCUCUCUAGUCAUUGCCACGUUCGAUGGCUCAAAAUACUCUACAAACAUGAUUCCUGAUACUUGUGUCUGAUAUGUACAGUAUUAAAGAAAUGUUAACUUGGUGUACACAAUGUGCCAAAGAGAAUUUAUUAUAUAAGUGAGCUCACCAGAAAGAACAAAAGGGAUUCCGAUGUUCUGAAUUAACCCGCUGAUAAUAUGCAUUGCCUCCGCUGCUAUCCAAGUAUCUCAAAUGAGAGGCAAACCACGAAAAUAAUUUUAAUUAUUAGUGAUGCGAGAACGGUACA